rnacentral:rRNA from 1 species
GAUGAACGCUGGCGGCGUGCCUAAUACAUGCAAGUCGAGCGAACGGACGAGAAGCUUGCUUCUCUGAUGUUAGCGGCGGACGGGUGAGUAACACGUGGAUAACCUACCUAUAAGACUGGGAUAACUUCGGGAAACCGGAGCUAAUACCGGAUAAUAUUUUGAACCGCAUGGUUCAAAAGUGAAAGACGGUCCUGCUGUCACUUAUAGAUGGAUCCGCGCUGCAUUAGCUAGUUGGUAAGGUAACGGCUUACCAAGGCAACGAUGCAUAGCCGACCUGAGAGGGUGAUCGGCCACACUGGAACUGAGACGCGGUCCAGACUCCUACGGGAGGCAGCAGUAGGGAAUCGUACGCAAUGGGCGAAAGCCUGACGGAGCAACGCCGCGUGAGUGAUGAAGGUCUUCGGAUCGUAAAACUCUGUUAUUAGGGAAGAACAUAUGUGUAAGUAACUGUGGACAUCUUGACGGUACCUAAUCAGAAAGCAACGGCUAACUACGUG